rnacentral:lncRNA from 1 species
ACCCUCUCCAGGCCCGCUGCUUCUGCCAGCUGGAUGUUGCGUCGUCCCUCGCUAUUCGCCCUCCUAUAAUCACUGCUUCCAUGUUGAAUCAAAACAAUUAUGCUUUCGUUCUCCCUUCUUCAAUUGCCCUAUCUUCACACCUGAACACUAUUGCUCCGGUAUCCUGCCAUUUUGGAUCAGGGCGGUUGACGGUGGAUUCACUUCCCAUCAGCCCUUGAGGCUGCAGGGACCAGCCCUUUGUGGAGAAGCCCAGGCGGCCUAGAAUCCAGUGUCGUCCGUGAGUGCUUGGCUGGUGUUCAAGUGCAUCUUCCAGCCUGAGACCGCGUGGACUCGCUCAUCGUGAGGGCGAGAGGAGGAUAAGCCCAUUGGGCUGUCGGCUGAGAGUGAGGUGCGGGACCAUCCACAAUAUUGUUUGAACAUCUGAAGACAUGGGGAACUUGCCAUCUGAUAUCUGAUAACAGACUUCCUGUAAAGCAGGACUGGUAGUUUCCUGAUAACAAAUUCUUCAAUAUGAAGCAGAUUGCUGAUGAAAUCCUUGGCAUCGUCGGAGAUCUCAUCGAAUGCCUCGUCGUCGAAGUCCCAGGUGGCUGAGGUAACGUUGGCCAAGGUUUCGUUAUCGUUGUCUCCCAUGAAGGGGGAAAGGCCACUGACUCUGGAGAGACAAGAGCAGGACAGCAGGUGUGGCUAGGAGAGGGCGCGACGACCAGAUGAGGGAAUUGAGGCACAGCCCAGGCUCAAGUCACCUGCCCAAAGAUUCACAGCCAGUGAGAUUGGAAGCCAGGUAUCUGCCUCUAGAGCCUGUCCUCUUAAAUGCUAUACUAUCCUAACAUUUCUGUAAAGAUGAAGUAAAUUGCAGUGUUCAGCACUGGCACCAGGCCUGGUCCACAGUAAGGAGGCGGUCCAUGCCCGGAGAUCUCAUGCAGUUCUGCUGGGUUCCCUCCACUGCCUUACCAAGCUGUGAGUGCAGGAAUGACUUUGUGACCAGCAGCUUAAGCCAAAUAAACUUUAUAAGGUAAAGAAUUUCAAAACAAAA